UGUGGCAUAUGAAAGUUCCUGGGCUAGGGUUGAAUUGGAGUUGUAGCUGCCAGUCUACAUCACAGACACAGCAACACAGGAUCUGAGCCUUGUCUGACUAACACCCCACUGAGCCAGGCCAGAGAUCGAACCUACAUCGUCAUAGAUGCUAGUCAGCUUCGUUAACCACUGAGCCACAAUGGGAACUCCAAGAUUUGGAAAUUUUUCAGCCAUAGUUUCUUCAAAUACAUUUUUACCCCACCCAUUUUUUUUUCUUUUGGAAUCUCUCUUAUGCGUAGAUUGGCCUGCUUUAUGUUAUGCCAUAGAUCUUGUAUUGCUUUCAUUUUUUUUAAAUUUAGUUUUCUGUCUGCUGCCUGAUUGAGUGAUUUCCAUUCUUCUUUCAAGUCAUUUUUUUGUUCCCCUGCAUUAUUCAUUCUGCUGUUCAAUGCCUUUAGCUCAACUUUUGUCUCUGCAAAUGAAUUUUCUAUUUUUUCUUGGCUCCUCCUAUUUUUAGUUCCUUUCUAAUCUGCACUACUAUUCAUAUCCACUCCUAAUUCCUUCGAUAUUUUCAUUACCUCCUUUCUGAAUUUUGCGUCUGUUACUCUGCCUAGGUCUGUUCCAUUAUUUUCUCCUUCAGAGGAAUUCUGUCUUGUUCUUUUAACUGGGAAUGGUUCCUAGGCAUCUUCAAUUUGCUUAUAUUUUUCUUACUCUGUUGAGCUCAGGGAAAACAGUCAUCUCCUGUGGCCUUGGAGGGUUAUGUGUGUGUGGGAUCAUCUCUGGGUGGCUUGUGAGGACUAACUCUUUUCUCCCCUUGGUGUGAGUGCUGUUACUCACUUGGAUGCUUGGUGCCUCUUUCCUCAAUGAGUGCAGGCCAUUAUUCCUUUGGUGGGGGUGUGAAGGUGGAAGACCUCCCUGUGCUUCCAGGGAGGUGGGGGCAACUGGCUAUGCAUGCAGGUGGUGUCUGGUCCCUGAGCCCUUGGCAGUGGCAUUGACCCAUAGCUCUUGGCAGUGGCAGCAGGCUACUCCUGGUCAGAGGGCCCUUGGCAGCGUCAGUGACUAUCAGCGAGGAGGGCCAAGCCCAGAGCCCUUGGCAGCAGCAGUGGCGGGGCGUGUCCAUUCACAGGGAGGUGGUGGCAACGGGCAGUGCUCAGUUGAAGGUGCCUGAAUGGUGGCGACCCCUGAGGUAACUGGGGCCACGUGUUGUGUCUGGUCCCGGGACCUCAGUGGUGGUGGGCUGUGUUCACCUCUGGAGCCUGGGAUGGCUUCGUCAGUUUGCAGCUGCCCCUGCAGCUCAUGCAAGAGGCCCUCUGCCGCCUGAGAGCCUGUGCUUGUGGAGGGAAAGAAGUUCCCAUGGCGGUCCCAUCCCCCCUUCUCUUGCACUCCCUAGCCCUGGCCGCACCACCCCCUAGCCCCCUCAGGCUGCUUCCACAAAGCUGGUCCGAGUCCGCUCCCCAGAACUCAUCUCCAUGGCCUGUUUCAGUGCCCAGCCCCCACCUGAGUGUUUGAUGCUGUGGUCUCUUUGGCAGUGGCAUCUGUCAUCUGUGCAGCCCUCUGCUUUGCCCUCCUCAAUCCGGCUGCUGAAAUUUCUCGGAGGCUUUGAGGUCCCCCCUUCAUCUCAGCUGAUCAGUUGACCUCCCAGCGCGUGGAUUCCUUUCCUCUUCCACAGCCCCCUCUCGAGAGUGCUGCUCCCAUCCUGAUUACUUUUAUUCUAUUCUCUCGCUUUUUUUCCUUUUUCUUCUACCCAGUUAGGCUUGUUCUUUUUCUAAGUCUGGGGUCUUCUGUCAGUGUUCAGUAGAUAUUCUGUGUAAAUUGUUCUACAGGUAGAUUUUUUUUUUUUUUUGGUCUUUUUGUCUUUGUUGUUGUUGUUGUUGUUGCUAUUUCUUGGGCCGCUCCCGUGGCAUAUGGAGGUUCCCAGGCUAGGGGUCGAAUCGGAGCUGUAGCCUCUGGUCUACGCCAGAGCCACAGCAACGCGGGAUCCGAGCCGCGUCUGCAACCUACACCACAGCUCACGGCAACGCCGGAUCGUUAACCCACUGAGCAAGGGCAGGGACCGAACCCGCAACCUCAUGGUUCCUAGUCGGAUUCGUUAACCACUGCGCCACGACGGGAACUCCCAGAUUUUUUUUUUUUUAAUGGCUGCACUUGUGGCAUAUUCCCAGGCUAGGGUUGAAUCAGAGCUGCAGCUGCUGGCCUACACCACAGCAAUGUCAGAUCCGAGCCACAUCUGAGACCUAUGCCACAGCUCAUGGCAAUGCCAGAUUCUUCAACACACGGAGCAAGGCCAGGUAUCGAACCUGCGUCCUCUUGGAUACUAGUCUGGUUCAUUACUGCUGAGCCGCAAUGGGAACUCCCUAGAUUACCUUUUUUUUAGCGUGUUGGUGGGAGGUGAUCUCCAUGUCCCACUCUUCCACUGUCUUGAUCUCGCCUCAAUUAUGUUUUUAUUAUUUCUUUACCUACUUUUAUGCUCUAAUUAUUGCAUAUCAAAAAUUAUAAUAAAAAUAUGUUCAUCAAUACUUUACAGGAACUUUUAGUCUUUAGAUAAGGUUUGUUACACAAUUAUUUAUCUUUUGUGUAUUUAAUAUUACUAUUAUUAGCCACGUGCAUGGCUUAUGGAAGUUCCCAGGCUAGGGACUGAAUUAGAGGCACAGCUCUGACUUACAGCAGAGCUGUGACAAUGCUGGAUCCUUAACCCACUGUGCUGGGCUGGGGAUUGACCCUGCGCCUCAGCAGCAACCAGAGCCACCACAGAGACAACCCUGGAUACUUAACCAGCCACACCACGGUGGGGAUGAUGUUUUGUGUAGUUUUGUUUUGUGUUGUUUGCCCCCCAGCAUAUGGACUUAGAUGGAUCCUUUAACCCACUGUGCCAGGUUGGGGAUCAAACCUGCAUCCUGGUGCUGCAGAGGUGCUGCUGAUCCUGUUGAGCCACAGUGGGAACUCCUCUUGUGUGCAUUUUAAUAUUUACCUCUUCCCUUUAUUCUAUGGUAGGUCUCCUGACAGGAGGUUCUCUCAGUGUUUUUUUAUUUGAAAAUGGCUUUCACUUUUCUUCUUGAAGGAUCAUUUUCCUAGGUAUAGAAUUCAUAUUUGGCUACUGUUUUCUUUCAGCACUUUCUAUAGUCUAUUUUUUUUUCAGUUUUCAAUUAUGUUUUAUUUUUAACUAUUUGUAUGCCCUGAUUACUACAUAUCAAAAAUUAUAAAAAUUGUAACAGGAGUUCCCACUGUGGCACUGUGGGUUAAGAACCCAGCUGCAGUGGUUUGGAUCAGCAAGGGUCUGCACCUGGGACUGGCACAGUGGGUUAAAGGAUCCAGCAUUGCAGCAGCUGCCACAUGCUUCAGCUGUGGCUUGGAAUUGAUCCCUGGUCUAGGAACCUCCAUAUGCCUCAGGUGUGGCCAUAAAAAAAGUGUUGGAGUUCCUGCAGUGGCUCAAUAGGAUUGGCCGUGUGUGUCUGAAGCACUAGGAUGCCAGUUCAAUCCCUGGCGCAGUAGGUUGAUGACUUGGCGUUGCUGCAGUCGUGGUGUAGGUCGCAGCUGUGGCUCAGAUCUGAUCCCUGGCCCAGGAACUCCAUGUGCCACGGGGUGGCCGUAAAAGAAAAAAAAAUGUUGAUCAACAUUUUCUAGGCACUUUUAUUCCUUAAAUUUUUUUUGGUCAGAGAAUUAUUUAUCUUUUGUGUAUUUCAUUAUUACUAUCACUGUGAGGUAAUCAGCUGUUCAUGUUUUGGGAGAGGGUCUUUCAGAUAUAAAUACAAGCAUUCAAGCACUUCAGUAAAUACAUGCACAUCUUUUCAAGUUAGUGUUUUCAUCUCCUCCAAAUGAAUACCUAGAAGCAGAAUUGCUGGAUCAUGUUAGCGCUGUUUUUAAUUUUCUGAGGACCCUCCAUGCCAUUUUUUAUACUGGCUGUACCAACAGUACACAAACGUUCCCUUUUUCCAGAUCCCUGCCAACCCUGUUAACAGUUAUUUUUGUCUUUUUGGUAACAGCCAUUCCAGCCAGUGCGAGGUGACACCUCGUUGAGGCUUGGAUUUCUGUUUACCUGAUUAGUGGUGGUGAAUACCAUUUCAUGUACCUGCAGCUGUGUCUUCCUUGGAAAAAUGUCUUAUUCAGAACCCUGUCCAUUUCUAACUGUUUUGGUUUUUUGCUACUGAGUUACAUGAGUUCUUUACAUAUUUUGGAUCUUAAUCCCUUAUGAGACAUGUAGUUUGCAAAUAUUUGUUGAUCAAUAUUUUCUAGGCACUUCAACUCCUUAGAUUAAGUUUUUGUCAGAGAAUUAUUUUUUUGUGUAUUUUAUUAUUUUUUUGGCUGCGCCUGCAGCACAUGGAAGUUCCCAGGCCAGGGAUCAAACUCAAGCCACAGCUGUGACAACACUACAUUCUUUAACCCACUGAGCCAGGCCAGAUAUCGAACCUGGGCCUCAGCAGUGACCUGAGCUGCUGCAGAGGCAAUGCCGGAUCAUUAAUCCACUGCACCACGAUGCUGUCUCUGGUGGCAGUGUGGGUUCAAUCCUCAGCCUGGUACAGUGGGUUAAAGGAGCCAGUGUUGCCAAAGCUGUGGUGCAGGUCACAGCUGUGGCUCAGAGUCAAACCCUGGCCUGAGUACUUCCAUGUGCUGCAGGUGUGG
rnacentral:lncRNA from 1 species